rnacentral:lncRNA from 1 species
AGACCAUCAAAAAUUCUAUUUUCAAAGCUAGAUGCUUAAUACAAUUUUUAACCAAAAUUUAUCUAAUAAUACAACAUAAAAUUUAUAUUUUAAGAUAAAAAUUAGUUCUAACUUGGUACAAAUUUACUAACUUGUACUCAUAAAUACAAAAAAUUCAAAUCUAUAUAUGAAUUUUUUACGACUUUUUUCUUAGAAAUACCAUUUUUAGAGCUAUGGUGAUGUCAACAAAUGUUCUAAGCAAUGUUGUGCCAUUAAGAAUUACUGCAUGUCAACACAAUACAAAAUAAUAUUAGAUUUUAUAACAUUAUACUGUUAAAAGUUACUAUGGUAAUUACUUGCGGUGUCAUAGCAAAAGUAGGAUAAUAAGCAUUGUUUAGGAAAAUUUUAGACACAUAAAAAGCCAUUAGAAGGAAUUUGAGGCCCUCUUCUAAAAUUGGAUGAUCAGCCAUUUGUGCAAUAGAAUAUUGUACACCAAUAGUUUUACCAAA